rnacentral:lncRNA from 1 species
UAUUAGGUCAUGGGUUCGAAUCCCGGCUCGGCCACUUGUCAGCUGGGUGACUGUGGGCCAGUCACUUCACUUCUCGGUGCCCGUUACCUCAUCUGUAAAAUCGAUUAGAUCGAUUACAUCGAUUAGACUGUAAGCCAGUGACCUCAUCUGUAAAAUGGGGAUGAAGACCGGGAGCCCCACGUGGGACACCCUGAUUCCCGUGUCUCCCCCAGCGCUUAGAACAGUGCUCGGCACAGACUAAGCGCUUAACAAAUACCAACAUUAUUAUUAUUAAGCCCGUCAAACGGCAGGGACCGUCUCUAUCUGUGGCCGACUUGUUCAUUCCAAGCGCUUAGUCCAGUGCUCUGCACGUAGUCAGCGCUCAAUAAAGACGAUUGAAAUACUAUGGAAUGAGUAAAAAUGGGGAUGAGGCCUGGGAGCCCCACGUGGGACAACCUGAUGGCCCUGUGUCUCCCCCAGCGCUUAGAACAGUGCUCGGCACAGAGGAAGCGCUUAACAAACACCAACAUGAUUAUUAUUUUUAUUUAUUAUUAUUAAGCGCUGAACAUUGGAGCGAGGGAGUGAAAGGCCGUGAUGGCGGCCCUGAGGCGAGGGGGACACCGGAAGUCCCGCCCUCCGGGCCGAAGAGGCUGCCGGGUAGCGGUUUAAUGCCCGGCCCCCUCAGCCCUGCCUCCUUUUCUCUUUGCGCCUUCGGGCCGCCGCACGGGUCGCGCUCCGCUCCGCCAUUUCCUCCCGCUCCGCCGUCCCGCCCGCUCCGCCAUCCCCACACAAGUGAGUACGAGGCGCCCACCGGGCCCGGACGCUCUGGGCCCCCGUCCGACCCCGCCCGACCCCAACCCGGGGAAGGAGGGCCACAAAAUGGCGGCCGACGGCAGGACUGGCCCCAGGCCCGCCUGGCGGAUGCGUUACGUCGCCGCCUACCUCCUGGCCGUCCUCGGGGGCAACGACUCCCCGGCCCUGAAGGACCUCAAGAAGAUCCUGGACAGCGUGGGCAUCGAGACGGACGACGAACGCCUGAAGAAGGGGACCGGGGGAGUUCGAGGCUGAAGGAAUAGUAAGAGGUCCUAGCGACAAGAAGCGGUCAAGGCAGGGGGCGAGUAGGUAGGUUUGAGGGCAAUAAGGGUGUGAGCUGGGGUGGAAUGGGAGGGGAGAGUGGAGGUAAAAAGUUGAAGGAUUCGCCUCCCUGGCCCAAUCCUUCAGGUUUUGAAGGGAAGGGCAGUCUCCUAUCCCCGGUGUCCUCUGGCAUUAAUAAUGACGACGAUAAUGCUGGUAUCUGUUACGCGCUUACUAUGUGCCGAGCACCGUUCUAAGCGCCGGGGGAGAUACAGGGUCACCACGUUGUCCCACGUGAGGCUCGCCGUCUUCAUCCCCAUUCUGCAGAUGAGGAAACUGAGGCCCAGAGAAGUGAAGCGACUCGCCCACAGUCACACGGCUGCCAAGUGGCAGAGCCGGGAUUCGACCCAUGCCCCCCGGCUCCCGAGCCCGAGCUCUUUCCACUGAGCCACGCUGCAUUCAUUCAGUCCUGCUUUUGAGCGCUUACUGGGUGCAAAGCCUUGUCCCGAACACCGAGCCAGGCACUGUACUAAGAACUGGGGAUGGUCCGAGAAAAUGGGUUCGAAUCCCAGCUCUGCCGCUCGUCAGCCGUGUGACUGUGGGCGAGUCACUUCACUUCUCUGUGCCUCGGUGACCUCAUCUGGAAAAUGGGGAUGAAGACCGGGAGCCCCACGUGGGACGACCCGAUUCCC